UACGGAGGGUGCAAGCGUUAAUCGGAAUUACUGGGCGUAAAGCGCACGCAGGUGGCUGAGUCAGUCGAUUGUGAAAGCCCCGGGCUCAACCUGGGAAUUGCAUUCGAUACUGGAUAGCUAGAGUUCGGCAGAGGGAAGCGGAAUUUCGGGUGUAGCGGUGAAAUGCGUAGAGAUGUGGAGGAACACCGAUGGCGAAGGCAGCCCCCUGGGCCAACACUGACGCUCAGGCACGAAAGCGUGGGGAGCAAACAGG
rnacentral:rRNA from 1 species